rnacentral:rRNA from 1 species
GACGAACGCUGGCGGCGUGCUUAACACAUGCAAGUCGAACGGAAAGGCCCUGCUUUUGUGGGGUGCUCGAGUGGCGAACGGGUGAGUAACACGUGAGUAACCUGCCCUUGACUUUGGGAUAACUUCAGGAAACUGGGGCUAAUACCGGAUAGGAGCUCCUGCUGCAUGGUGGGGGUUGGAAAGUUUCGGCGGUUGGGGAUGGACUCGCGGCUUAUCAGCUUGUUGGUGGGGUAGUGGCUUACCAAGGCUUUGACGGGUAGCCGGCCUGAGAGGGUGACCGGCCACAUUGGGACUGAGAUACGGCCCAGACUCCUACGGGAGGCAGCAGUGGGGAAUAUUGCACAAUGGGCGGAAGCCUGAUGCAGCGACGCCGCGUGCGGGAUGACGGCCUUCGGGGUGUAAACCGCUUUCGCCUGUGACGAAGCGUGAGUGACGGUAAUGGGUAAAGAAGCACCGGCUAACUACGUG